rnacentral:rRNA from 1 species
GAUGAACGCUGGCGGCGUGCUUAACACAUGCAAGUCGAACGGAAAGGCCCGGCUUUUGUGGGGUGGACGAGUGGCGAACGGGUGAGUAACACGUGAGUAACCUGCCCCUGACUUCGGGAUAACUCCUGGAAACUGCGGCUAAUACCGGAUAGGAGCUCCUGCUGCAUGUUGGGCAUUGGUAAAGGACGGCGGUUGGGGAUGGACUCGCGGCUUAUCAGCUUGUUGGUGUGGUAGUGGCUGACCAAGGCUUCGACGGGUAGCCGGCCUGAGAGGGUGACCGGCCACAAUGGGACUGAGAGACGGCCCAGACUCCUACGGGAGGCAGCAGUGGGGAAUAUUGCACAAUGGGCGGAAGCCUGAUGCAGCAACGCCGCGUGCGGGAAGACGGCCUUCGGGUUGUAAACCGCUUUUGACUGAGACGAAGCGGGAGUGACGGUACCUGAUGAAAAAGCGCCGGCUAACUACGUG